rnacentral:miRNA from 2 species
UCAAGCAGUCCAUCCAUCCUUG